CCUACGGGAGGCAGCAGUGGGGAAUUUUGGACAAUGGGCGCAAGCCUGAUCCAGCAAUGCCGCGUGCAGGAUGAAGGCCUUCGGGUUGUAAACUGCUUUUGUACGGAACGAAACGGCCCUUUCUAAUACAAGGGGCUAAUGACGGUACCGUAAGAAUAAGCACCGGCUAACUACGUGCCAGCAGCCGCGGUAAUACGUAAGGUGCGAGCGUUAAUCGGAAUUACUGGGCGUAAAGCGAGCGCAGGCGGUUAUAUAAGACAGAUGUGAAAUCCCCGGGCUCAACCUGGGACCUGCAUUUGUGACUGUAUAGCUAGAGUACGGUAGAGGGGGAUGGAAUUCCGCGUGUAGCAGUGAAAUGCGUAGAUAUGCGGAGGAACACCGAUGGCGAAGGCAAUCCCCUGGACCUGUACUGACGCUCAUGCACGAAAGCGUGGGGAGCAAACAGGAUUAGAUACCCUGGUAGUCCACGCCCUAAACGAUGUCAACUGGUUGUUGGGUCUUCAUUGACUCAGUAACGAAGCUAACGCGUGAAGUUGACCGCCUGGGGAGUACGGCCGCAAGGUUGAAACGUUAAAGGAAUUGACGG
rnacentral:rRNA from 1 species